AUGAAAAGAAUGUGAGUAUGUAUUUAUUGUGUGUUUUAAAUUUACGCCAUUCAAUGCAAAAUAGCUAAUUUGCAUAUACCUAACACGGGCUCUAUCUCGCUAACGGGACCAGCGAUCGGGGAGUUGAAAUUGAAACUUUAUUACACGAUGCCAUGAGACCGGCCUAACAAGUCUAAGUGGGGUUAAAGAAUACGGUACAAUGAUCUGUCGCCCUAUUACCGAGGCUCAGAACGCACACGAAAAUAUCUACAAAUGUAAAGAAUGAACCAUCAAUUCAACCAAUCACAGGAGGAGGAUUCACAUUCCAGGUAAAGACAAGCAAAUGUUUGUUCAGAAGCUUCUUAUACUCUAUGUAUCGUAUCAUCAUUCAUAGUUCUUUUAAUCUCAUUAUAUUCUUUUUUUUUUUUUUUUUUGUCACAUUUUUUUUUUGUCACAUUUCAGUUUUGCAUAUAAAAAAAUUGAACCAGACCUCUAGACAAUAUUAAAUAAAAUUAUAAAAAAAAACAAAAACAAAUAAAAA